UACGUAGGGUGCAAGCGUUGUCCGGAAUUAUUGGGCGUAAAGAGCUCGUAGGCGGUCUGUCACGUCGGCUGUGAAAUCCCGAGGCUCAACCUCGGGUCUGCAGUCGAUACGGGCAAACUAGAGUGUUGCAGGGGAGACUGGAAUUCCUGGUGUAGCGGUGAAAUGCGCAGAUAUCAGGAGGAACACCGGUGGCGAAGGCGGGUCUCUGGGCAAUAACUGACGCUGAGGAGCGAAAGCGUGGGGAGCGAACAGG
rnacentral:rRNA from 1 species